UACGUAGGGUGCAAGCGUUAAUCGGAAUUACUGGGCGUAAAGCGCGCGCAGGCGGCCCUUUAAGUCCGUCGGUGAAAGACCGGGGCUCAACCCCGCGUCAGCCAUGGAUACUGGAGGGCUGGAGACAGGUAGAGGCAAGCGGAAUUCCGGGUGUAGCGGUGGAAUGCGUAGAUAUCCGGAAGAACACCGGAGGCGAAGGCGGCUUGCUGGACCUGGUCUGACGCUGAGGCGCGAAAGCGUGGGGAGCGAACAGG
rnacentral:rRNA from 1 species